AUGAAAAACUAGACAGAUUGUAAAACAAAUGUGAGAAAUAAGAUGAUGGAUGGGAUAGCUAGAGGCUUUUUCUCCACACAUGACAUGUAUGCAAAUAACUCGAUUUCCAGUUACUACUUCAUUGAAUUAUGAAUGACAAUGCCCCAAAUUAAACGUGACAUCACUAGUUAACUCUCAGAUUUUCCUUGUUUUAUUGGAUUGGAUGACAUCAUUCGACAACCCAAAACAUUCUUCAAAAGUUCCCUACAUGACAUCAUAAUAGAGAUGCAAUCAAAGAUCAUUACAUCUAAUGAAAAUCAUAAGCAUUGACAAAGCACUUGCAACUAUGACAUCAUGUCACUCAUGCUAGGAAUUGAACUUAACGCGAUCGUUUAUAAGCGACCUUCACUACAUGUGAAUAUAAGUUUCUAACGAUUAUGUGAAACCUCCUUAUAUUCUAGCAACGGAUUUAUGCAUGCCAAUUAAGUGUCGACCCUUAAUUAACAAGUACAAAUAAGUUAUCAACCAAAUAGUUGAGCCAAUUGCAUUCACGAUUCAAGAGUUCAUAACUGGAAUUUAUCAAAUUAUAUUGCACACAUAGUCAUGGCUUUGAAAUCACCCCUAGCCAAGAGGGGUUUAGCCACUCAUAUUUACAACAAAACGAAAGGAAAUGAAUUUAAACAUUAGAAACAAAAGAAAGAAAACACCUAAACGCUCCAACGAUCCAAGUUGGACAGCAAGCACGUCCAAGCACUUUCCUUCCCUUCCUUUGGCACAAGGUGUUGGUGAGUGUUUGAAGGUUUGUUUGUAUGGAGGAAUGGAUGUGAAGAUGAAUGGAUGUGCUUGGAUGAAGGUUGUGUUGAAAUGGGAGUGAAUGAUCUAACAAAGUAUGAACUAAAUUUAUGUUACACACACUUCCUUUUAUAGAGGAAGUGCAUGGCAAUAGAGGGGAACAUGGAAUGGUGUAGCAAUUGAGUGCAAUGAUGCAUGAAAUCUGAAAUAAUUGAGGGAACAAGGAAUGAUGUAGCAAUUGAAUGCAAUGAUUCAAUGUAAUGAUGCAUGAAAUCUGAAAUAAUGGAGGGAACAAGGAAUGAUGUAGCAAUUGAAUGCAAUGAUUCAAUGUAAUGAUGCAUGAAAUCUGAAAUGAUGGAAGGAACAAGGAAUGGUGUAGCAAUUGAGUGCAAUGAUUCAAUGUAAUGAUGCAUGAAUCUGAAAUGAGGGAGGGAACAAGGAAUGGUGUAGCAAUGGAGGAACAAGGAAUAGUGUAGCAAUUGAGUGCAAUGAUUCAAUGUAAUGAUGCAUGAAAUCUGAAAUGAUGGAAGGAAUAAGGAAUGGUGUAGCAAUUGAGUGCAAUGAGUGGUGUUUAAAAUGAUUCAAAGGUGAAAGUGAAGUGAUGAUGCAAAGCAUGGGGGUAAAAUAGAGUGGUGUUGCAUGUGCAGAGAAAGGAAAGAGAGGUGGAAUGAUGCAACAAAUCAGUCAAUGGAGGGAACAUGGAUGAUGAUGCACGGCAUAGGAAUCCAAUGGGAGUGCAAUGGUGGUGCACGACAAUGAUGGAAAGGUGAAUGGUGGAGUGACACCCCUUUGUGGUUGAGCUCUUUGUCCUUUUUACAUUAAUUCUUCUUUCUCUUUAACACAUUCCUAGCCUCAUUAGUCUUCAAUUUUGUCCAUCCACCUUGCUCCAUGCAUCUGCUAUUCAUUCCAAGCCCAAAACUACUCUGAAAUGCACCAAAAUGCAUCUUAUUGCUUCAUAAGGCCUAUGGACCUACAAACACACGAAAAUAGCUUAAAAUACAUAAUUAACUAAGAAAUAACAACACAAAUGCAUGAGAACAAGCUAACUCAGUCGCAUAAAUUUGCUCCUAUCAAAUUCCCCCACACUUAGCUUUUGCUAGUCCUCGAGCAAAACAAAACAAACGAAACAAACAAAACAUAACCUAGACCUUCCAACAUUUGCCUCAGGGAUUUUUAAUGAAACAUGACA
rnacentral:lncRNA from 1 species